UUCCCUCGACUCUCGCUUUAAUGCAUGCCAAUUCUACAUUAGAAGAUAAGUUGCGGUGAUAAAACAUCAAAAUUAUGACGUCUCGCUGUAUUGUUGAAACGAUAACAUAGAACAAUUGUUUAGCGGUACAAAGCACAAGUUUAUUUUCUAGUACUACAAAGCUCAUCAAAUGGUUGGAUAAUCUCGUUUGAGGCAAUCUUCUAGCAAUUAUUUGCACAGUAUAUCAAUUAGUAUGUAAUAAUUCAGUCAUCAUCUCUCGACAGACAAAAGAUACAUCUAAUUUAAAACCAAAUCAAUUGCCUUCGGAUGGUGAUCCAGUUAAUCAGAUUGUAAGUUGAGAGCUUGAAAAGAGAUCGAGUCAAUUGGUCUUCACAAGCGCAAGCAGAAUUGGGAAAUUUCUGAGUGAAGUUUUCUGUUUGCAUUUUACUACCAUUCAAUGUCAAUAAUUUUGAAGGCACAAAUUAAUUUAAUAUCAGUAGGUGAGCUAAGAACUAAUACUAGUAAAACAAAUCAGAUGUAGAUGGACGAGUAAAAAUACCCUAGAUCCUUGCCCGGUUGCCACACAGACGGACAGAACUCGCGGCCGGCCGGCCGGACUGUCACCCGCGCAAGCAUGCUCUUUGUGGUGGCCGCUCGCCCGCUUUCCUUCGGACCUUCAAGUUUGAUCGAUUAGUAGUUCUAAUCAAAAUCGUCCUCAUCGGUAGCCAUUGGAAGAGCAGGAACGAAACGUCGAAACAAUGCGGCGCUUUACAGCUUGUAUCCAGAUCGCUGUCACUCUAGCCCUACCGCCUUCUUUGGUGGGCUCUCCAUUACUUGGUUUCAGCUAGCUUGUGCUAUCAGUUAUAAUUUCUAGAUGGGCUGGUGGGCUUAUGGGCAUGAUGUCGUGUUACAGAGCGACAGGGGGGGCGAAGUAAGCCAGAGACGCUGAAAUUUAUCCUAUCGUUAAUCGUUGUCAAAGGAAAAACAGAUCGAUAGGGGGGGUCUCGCCCCCGCUCGUCCCCCCUUGGCUCCGCCCCAGGUAUUAUCUAAUCAAAUACGAAGUUGCUCAAUGUGUUGACUGUCUCGCGUCACCACAUGGCUCCACGCCUCCACUGAUGGUAUAACGAUAACCUUGGACGGUUCAGCUGCAUGGAUGGUAAGGGUCUAGCUACUUGAUCUUACAGUUAUGGCUUUCGCACAUAAAGAAGUAGAGAGAUGAAUCUUUGUACCUAUGUGCUAAAAUCGAUCCUGGUAUUAUUGGAUAAUAACUAUGCUGCGUUUUUUUGCUCUUGCCAACAAAGUAUAUGCAGCAAAAAAUUUACUAAUGUUAUCCCUUUCUUCAGGUUGUCUGAAGGAGCCGAGGCAAAAGGAUUAGAUUUUUAACUGCAUGUCUGCUCUAAUUCAGUUAUCUAACAGCUUCCCUGCAUUACAUUCCAUAUAACAUAGCUUUAUUGGCAUCUCUCCUAAAGAAUUAUGAGGAGUUUCAUACAGCUGCUGGAGAAAUUUAAGGAAUGAAGAAAAAAGAUGUUAUGGACCCAUGAAACAGUGACCAGCCUUGACAACCAAAGAAAGACAGCCACGGCAUUUUCUCUCAUGUAUGUCCUUUUCUUGGUUGUAUCUGGUGAUAUUAGAGAGCAGAAACAAUCACAUAUAUCUGGUGUUAUAUUCAAUUUGAUACUCUUACGGAGUGCCAUGCAUCAAACAAUUAUAUUCCAAGAUGUGUCAGAAAACAAGACUAUAUGUAUUUGGAGUAUGUUGUAGUGAUGUUAACAUUGAGGAGCCAUUUUGGAUGAUGCAACUUUGGUAUUGCAACAUUUAUUAUAUUUGUACUGUUGUAAUAACUAUUAUAAUUUUCUGCACAGUUUUAUCAUCAUUUA